rnacentral:misc_RNA from 1 species
GAUGAAGAACGCAGCGAAAUGCGAUAAGUAAUGUGAAUUGCAGAAUUCAGUGAAUCAUCGAAUCUGUGAACGCACAUUGCGCCCGGUAGUAAUCUGCCGGGCAUGCCUGUCCGAGCGUCAUUUCAACCCUCGAACCACUAUUCGCGUAGCUGGAUCGGUGUUGGGGUACUACGGUGGAAUACCCGUAGGCCCCGAAAUGAAGUGGCGGUCCCGCCGCGGCGCCCCCAUGCGUAGUAACAUCUCGUCUCGCAUCGGGUCCCGGCGGAGGCCUGCCGUCAAGCCUAUUUUCUAAUUACAGAUGGUUUGACCUCGGAUCAGGUAGGGUUACCCGCUGAACUUAAGCAUAUCAAUAAGCGGAGGA